UUGGAAUAUGCUUAAAAAUAUCAGUUUGUCCUGUGCAAAAUUUUUCAGGAAUACUCCAGAAUAAUUGUUAUUUACUUAUAUAUAUUAUUUAUUAUGUUAUUUACUUACUGUAUAUAUAUAUAUACACACACAUAUAUAUAACAGAAAAAAGGGCAAAUACAUAUCAAAUAACAUUGUAUCCUGAGACCAUGACAAAAAGACAUUUUAUUCCUCUUUUUUUUAUGGCUGCACCUGCAGCAUACAGAAGUUCCUGGGCUAGGGGUAGAAGUGGAGCUACAGCUGCCACCUAUACCACAGCCACAGCAAUGCCAGAUCUGAGCCACAUCUGUGACCUAUGCCACAGCUUGUGGAUUCUUAACCCACUGAGUAAGGCCAGGGAUUGGAACUUCAUCCUCAUGGAGACGUCAGGUUCUUAUUCCACUGAGGCCAUAAUGGGAACUCCAAAAAGACAUUUUAAAAUAGAGCUGUUUUUCUUUGCUAACUCAACUGUUCCCUAGUCAUUUUUUUCCUUUCCUCCUAGGUUUCUGAGAUCUCAUUCUUCUCAGCUUGGCUCCAAGGUUAGAUCCUCUCCGAGAGCUUCUGAUCUCACAUGAAUCCUCAUCCUUCCCCUGAGAUCCCACUGUAUUGCUUUCAUUUCUUUGUGCAUGUGGUGCCCAUAUUGAGCUGAAAUGACUUGCUUAUACCCUGUCUUCUCCAUUAGACUGAGGACUCCUUGGGGCCAAAGACUGUGGCUUAUGUACUGGUCCAAUGUUCAGCUCUGUGUGCAGCAGGUGCUCAGACAGUGCUGGAGGGCCUGUCUUUUGAAUCUGUCUGCUGUUCUUUCCUUUGCUCUUCAUUUCAACAUGUCUUUUCCUCUUACUCUUUGUGAUUUUCACUUGAUCCUUUUGAGUUUUGAUUCCAAAGUUCUUAAGAGACAGAGAUCCUAUUGGCUGGUGCAAGACCAUAGCAGUUGUGUGUGUGUGUGUGUGUGUGAGAGAGAGAGAGAGAGAGAGAGAGAGAGGGAGAGGGAGAGGGAGAGGGAGAGGGAGAGGGAGAGGGAGAGGGAGAGGGAGAGGGAGAGCGCUGAGUCACUGUCUCCCAUUUCUGGCUUUGCUUCUCACAUCCACAACCCAUGUGCUCUACUUCCAUUUUUUCCUCUCAUUCCUGUUCCAAGCACAUCUGAAGAUUUUAUUUUCUCUAGCUUGGCUUUUCCCUUUGGGGAUGGCUCACAAAGCCUCAGAGCUUCUGAACGCACUCUGACGUGAGGGAGCAGCUUGAGUCCUCAAGUAUGUGUCCCGCCUGGAGACGAAGCCCAUUGAAGUCCCUGAGAGCAAACAGCUCUGAAAAGCAAAGCGAUCUGGUAUUUACUCAACUUUACUUCUGUCCGGUGGGUCAGAGAACAGACUCCAGUGUCCAGGAUAAAGCCGGGCCUGGCCGGGUCUUGGCAGCUCAAACCGCCCCAUUGUGAUUCAAGAUUCGGGGUGUAAACACAUGCAGUGUUUAACCACCGCCAGUCCUCUUUGAAUGUUUGAUAGCCGUGACUGGGGCUCAGGAAGAACACAGUAGUGACUUCUUCACUGGAGCUGAGGCUGAGGCUUUAUGUAGUGUUUGGGCAAACGGCACCGGCAGCUGCAAGCCCUCAAUGGGUGCUUUCUAGUUGCUGAGUGGGCUGUGCUGCGUUGCUGGGAGCCGAGGUCCGGAGCUGCCCCUGGGCUGGAUGGGGGGAGGAGGAGGCGGCCAGCCGCAGCCUGGGCCACCCCUUCUCGGUGACAGGUGCUGAGGGACAGGAGAAGGAGCCCCUCCCUACUGGCUCCCAAGCCUGGGCUCAGUGUCUGCCACUGACUGCCAUUUUUAUUGGGUUUUUGUUUCAGGAACACACACAGGACCUUGGCAGGCAGAGAUGUACCCUGUGGCUUGGUCUUUCUCUGCUCAGCUAGUGGUGAUGAAAACAGUAACAAAGACCCUGACUUUGCUAAAUGACCAAGACUCACUCAGAUAACAAGCCAGUACAGUUGCUGGCAGAGAGCCUUCUAGACGCUUGAUGCAGUGUGACCUACUGGAGUGAGAAGGAGAAUUGGAAGGGGAGGGCUCUCAGUUACAUUUUGGUCCAAUUAAAGGAUACUAUUAUCUCCUCCUGAUGUGGACUGAUGAUCCUGUUUAUCAUUAACUAUCAUCUACUGAGAACUUUUAUGUGCCAGGUACUGAACUAGGUAUUGCAUGUUCAUUGUCUUACCAUAAUCCUGCAAUUUCGUUGUUGUUGUUCUU
rnacentral:lncRNA from 1 species